GGCCGAGCGAGCCACUGUGGCAAAGGUGGGCUGGGUGGGAGGGGACAUGGUGCCGAAGGGAGCUGGGUGGCUUUGGAGGGCACGCCUGGAACCCCAGGAGAGCAGGGCCUCUCCCAACCCCGCUGUCCGUGGGGUGUGAGCCCUGCUUUGGGGUCAGCCCCUGUCGGCCUGAUGGCUGGGACACCCCCAUUUCCCUGGUCCUGGGCGGUCAGUGUGCCCCCACCUCUCCAGCCCCACUCAGCUGGGCAACUUGAGCCAAGGGAGGCUGGGGCAGCUGGGGAAAUUCCCCACGGGACUUUGGAGGGCAGGUGGAAACCUCACCCACACGCGAUGCGCCUCCCCCUCAAGCAGGAACCAGCUCCCCUCUACCCAUGGCCAGGGGAAGGGUCUGCUCUGGGCGCCAGGCUGUGGUCAGGGCUCAGGGCCUCAGCCAGGCAGGCCCUCACUCUUCUCCGGGCCUGUUUCUGCACCUGCUCCAUGGUCACUGAGCUGGUUUAAGGGGGCGCUCCUGGCACCCAGGCACCGCUGGUCUGAGCGGGAGGGGCCUCUUUCCAGAGGUGGCCCCUGCCCCGAGGUUGGAGCAGAUAGGCAGAACCCCAUUUCCCCACCUCCUCCACACUAGGCCACCCUGGGAUCUGGCCCUUACCCUACUGGCUGCACCCUCAGCCGCCCUGUGCCUCCCUCGGCCCCCUGGCUCUCCCACCCAGGGGCUCAUCCUGCCCUGGCCAGCCUGUCCCUCCAGCUGUCAGGAGGGGGUUGCAGUGAAGAAUGAGUUGGCAGCAGGCUGGGCCCAGUCCCCCAGGCUGUCACCUAGGAGCCCAGUGCCAGGAGGACAGCCUGGGGAGGACCCAGACUCUGCCCUCGCCCCUGACUGUAAGCACAGCAGUCAGUUCACUGGGAAGGCCCGCAGCGGGCCAAGCCUUAGCAACUCGUGCACUCGGCUACUUAGCUACUCCACCGUAUAGGGGCCCAGUAGGCUUGUGCCCCCAUCCCAGGAGGUGCCCUCUUGCCCUCUGCCUGCAUCCCUGCGGCCUGCCCCCUCCUCCCCCACCUGCAUGCCCCUGGAUCUGCCCUGGCCUCCUGGUGGAAGGACCCACAAGCAUGGGGUGGGCUAGAUCCAGCCCUUUCUGUGUACAGAGGGGGAAACUGAGGCCCAGAGGGAGAAGUGACCGGCCCAGGUGAGCCUGGAGGCCGGACAGGGCUGGGAUGCUUGGCACAGGAGGCCGCCUCACCCUUCCUUCCUCUUCUUGGGGAGCCCCAUGUCCCCCACCCCAGCUUGUCCUAUGUCCCAACCUGGAGCAGCCCCUGUCAUCAGACCUAUCCGGCCAGGGGACAGCUCGGGGCAGGAGUAGCUAAGUAGCCGAGUGCACGAGUUGCUAAGGCUUGGCCCGCUGGGGGCCUUCCCGGUGAACUGACUGCUGUGCUUACAGGCCAGGGGCGAGGGCAGAGUCUGCGUCCUCCCCAGGCUGUCCUCCUGGCACUGGACUCCUGGGUGACAGCCUGGGGGGCUGGCCACCGCCUGCUGCCAACUUGUUCUUCACUGCAACCCCCUCCUGAUAAGCUCUGCCCUGCCCCCAGCCCCUCCCCAGGCCAAGACUAGACCCUCCCCAAGGGAAGGAGGCCUGGGCUCAGGCCCAGAGUGCCAGCUUUGCCCUAUCCCAUAGCCUGGAGCCACCACAGGAGGGGCACUCCACUCUCUUGGGCUCCUGGAGCCUCAGAGGCAGAGCCAGCCGGGAGUGCAGUGGGGAGAACUUUCCUGUGGACGUCCUGUGUUCUCCAGACGCAGAGAACCCUCGUCAGCCGAGGGGGAGGUCACUUCCGAAUCCACAGAUGGCGUGUGAGUGCAUGGCGAGCGCCUCCAGGACACACUUACUGUUCCCUCGCUCUGGCCAGACGCCAGCCGGACCCUGUGUGUGCGCGCCGUGCUGCUCUUUGCAGCUGCCUGCAAGGGGUUCCUGCGAAGACCAGCACCUUGGGGAAGAGCCUGCGGCUGAACUUGAACUCGCGGCUACCUGAGUCAGGCCUGUGCUUUUUCACCUCUGCGGAAGAUGUCAGAGCGUUUCCCUAGCAAUGUUUUAGAAAUUACUUCUGUCUGGAAAAAAAUGGAAAAAAUGGCAAAUUAUGUUAUGUAUAAUUUGAUAAUUUUAAAGAAUUAAUGAUGUAAUUAUUACUCAAACCCACUGAAUUGUACGUUUUAUUAUUAUUAUUACUAUUUUCUUUUUUUUCUUUCUUUCUGUUUUUUUUUGAGACGGAGUUUCACUCUUGUCGCCCAGGCUGGAGUGAAAUGGUGCAAUCUCAGCUCACCACAAUCUCUAUCUCCCGGGUUCAAGUGAUUCUCCUGCCUCAGCCUCCCAAGCAGCUGGGAUUACAGGCAUGCACCACCACGCCCAUUCAAUUUUGUAUUUUUAGUAGAGAUGGGGUUUCUGUAUGUUGGUCAGGCUGGCCUUGAACUCCCAACCUCAGGUGAUUCGUCUGCCUCGGCCUCCCAAAGUGCUGGGAUUACAGGCGUGAGCCACUGCGCCCGCUUAUUAUUAUUAUUAAUUUUAUUUUAUUUUAUUUUAUUUAUUUGAGACAGAAUCUCCCUCUGUCACCCAGCCUGGAGUGCAGUGGCGCGAUCUCAACUCACUGCAACCUCUGCUUCCCAGGUUCAAGUGAUUCUCCUGCCUCAGCCUCCCGAGUAGCUGGAAUUACAGGUGCCCACCACCACGCCCGACUAAUUUUUGUAUUUUUAGUAGAGACAGGGUUUCACCAUAUUGGCCAGGCUGGUCUCAAACUCCUGACCUGGUGAUCCACCCGCCUCAGCCUCCCAAAGUGCUGGGAUUACAGGCAUGAGCCACCGAGCCCGGACUGAAUUGUACAUUUUAAAUGGGUGAAUUGUAUGGUAUAUAAGUGAUUUCUUAAUAAAGCUGUUAUUUUUAUUUUAUUUUCAAGGUGGAGUCUCACUCUGUCUCCCAGGCUGGAAUGCAGUGGCACGAUCUCAGCUCACUGCAACCUCUGCCUCCUGGGCUCAAGCAAUUCUCCUGCCUCAGUCUCCCUAGUAGCUGGGAUUACAGGCGCCUGCCACCACACCCAGCUAAUUUUUGUAUUUGUAGUAGAGACAGCAUUUCACCAUGUUGGCCAGGCUGGUCUCAAACUCCUGACCUCAGGUGAUCUGCCCACCUCGGCCUCCCACAGUGCUGGGAUGACAGGCAUGAGCCACUGUGGCCAGCCAUAAAGGUGUUAUUCAAGAAAAAGAAGAAAUGCCUCAGACCUGAAUGCUUCCCACCAUCUUGGCUGAGCGUUUGACCACAUCGGUGGAUGCCCCACUGGGUUGCAUUCUAGUCCGUGCCAAUGGCCUCUGCGGGGGCUCCUUCCAAUCCCUUGAGACGUGGGCCAUGUUGUAGGGGAUGCUGGGAGUCAGUGGGAGGUGUGAGCACUGAGGGGCCCCCAGUCCUGGAGAGGAAGCCUUCUGGGCUGCGGGUCUCUCUCCUGCCAGGCAUCCCGGGCACCAUGCAGCCCCUGCCACCCUGGGCUCAGCCUGCCCCGUGCCCUCUGCAGUCCUUCCUCAGCCAAGGGCAGCUCCUGGAGUUUAGGGGAUGGGAGUGGAUUCCUUCUGGGGUGGGUGGAACCUCUCCUCCGCCCAGCUCAGCAGACCGGCUGUGAGGUUGCCGCGUGGGCACCAUGGGCAGUCGGGGGUAAGGAUGGAUGCCUCUCGGUCGCUGAUGCGGGGCUCACGCUGGGCUGGCACUUUAAGACAGAUGCCGGAGGAGCAGCCAGGGGUGUCUGUGGGGCACAUGGGCCGGGCCAGGCCAGCGCCUCUCUGGGACCUCAAGCAGGAGAGUGGUCGGUCCAGCCCGGGAGGGAGCCUGUGGCUAGGCCUGUGCAGGAGUCGGGGGGGACCCUCGGUGGGGACCCUCCCGGCAGCCGAAACUGGGGGAGGGAGAGCAGAACAUCUGGCCCUGCUGGGUUGGGGCUGAUGCUUCUGUUUAGCCUCAGCAGCCCCCCUGGGGUUGAUUUCCUAGAGCUCCUACACCCCCAGUUUGUCCGGGGCCCCAGCCGUAGCUGCUACUGGGGGCCUCAAACUCCCCCAGGGCAGCCAGGACCCCAGGGGCUGUGGAGCCAGGGGCAGAGUGGAGGUGGGGGUCGGGGGAGGGCUGCAGCUGGGCCCAUAGUCCCCACCCUGCAGGCCGGAGCAGGAAGGGCUGGCGGGAGCCAGGGACAAAAGGCGGACGUGCAGCCGGCCAUGUGUGUCCUUAUCAGAGGCCGCACUCCCAGCACAGCAGCCUGCGCGGAAACGCUCCUCUCCGCCGCCUUCCUGCCUGGAAGCCCGGAGGCGGAGGCGCUGGAGGCCCCCACCCAGCAGGACGGGACGCUGAGGGGAGCAAGGGGAGCAAGGGGAGCCAGAAAAUUAUCACCUGCUGAGCCCCCUUGCUGCUGCUCUCUGGGCGUGCACUGUGAGUGCACUGUGGAGUUUACGGACACCGGCCCCCGCGACGGUGGAGUUUACGGGGACCGGCCCCCGCGACGGUGGAGUUUACAGACACUGGCUCCCGCGACGGUGGAGUUUACGGGGACCGGCCCCCGCGACGGCGGAGUUUACGGGGACCGGCCCCCGCGACGGUGGAGUUUACGGGGACUGGCCCCCGCGACGGUGGAGUUUACGGGGACCGGCCCCCGCGACGGUGGAGUUUACAGACACUGGCUCCCGCGACGGUGGAGAUUACGGGGACCGGCCCCCGCGACAGUGGAUUUUACAGACACCGGCCCCCGCGACGGUGGAGUUUACAGACACUGGCUCCCGCGACGGUGGAGUUUACGGGGACCGGCCCCCGCGACGGUGGAGUUUAUGGGGACCGGCUCCCCCGACGGUGGGGGCCCACGAGUCCCAGCAUCUGCAGCAGAGUCGCCGGAUUGCAUGAGGUCAGCGAGUGUGUCCACUGCAGACCCUGCGGCACCAUCCAAAACCACAUUGAGAAUAUUUCCAUUACUCUAGGAAAAGCUUCUCCGUCCAGCUGAGGCGGGAUGUCAUAGACUUACCCUCCUACCCGAAACAGCCAAAAAGCAAAACAAAACCAGACAAAACGCAGACACAUGGCUUCCAAGACACGGGACACCAGGCAUUAGAGGACAGUAACCCUGAGUGAUGGGAACAGCCGUGCCCUAGUCACCCGUGCUCACUGCCCUGGGAGGCAGUCCGGGCUGUGGGUGGGAAGGGGGAACCCACGCAGGUCCCAGUGGACCCCCGAGGCUGGACAGACCGAGGCGGCUCGAGUUCAUGGACACAGUACCAGAGUGGAGAGGGUCGCACAGAGAGGGACCCUGAAGACCUGGAUGGGACCCCUGGAGUAUCUGGAAGAGCAUGGCCCUGCGGAUCCCCAUAAGGAAACUCCCCAGGGUGGGUAAAAAGGCACCCGGAAGGAUGAGAGGGAACAGGGCCCGACUCCUGGAGGGCUGAGGACAGUGUCUCUCCCCAUCAGCCAAGCAGGAAAUCUCGUAACUCACGGGGCCUUGGGUGAAGCCCUUGGGAAGGGCUUGCCUCGGCGGGGGACGAUCAGCCUGAGCCCGAGCUGUGCUCUGAGCCCUCCUACCAAGCCAUAAAAGCAAGACUAGAAAGGAUCAAACUGCCUCCAGAUCACUUAACCGCACGUCCAGGACAAAGCUGAAGAUUUCCAGGAAGACAAAAAUCCCCGGCACCCAGCCAGGUGAAAUUCACAAGGACUGGCGUCCAAAGGAAGAGGACCUGCCAGGCAAUGGGAAAAGCAGGAGAACGGGACCCAUGAUGAGAAAAAUGAUGUAAUCGAAACCAUCCCAGGGCUGGGUGCGGUGGCUCACGCCUGUCAUCCUAGCACUUUGGGAAGCUGAGGUGGAGGAUCACUUGAGGCCAAGAGUUCAAGACCAGAUGGGGCAACAUAGUAAGACCCCAUCUCUAUGAUUAAAAAAAAAAAAAAAAAAAAGGUAAAACCAUCCCAAAGUUGACACAGAUGUGAGAAUGAGCAGAGGGGGGCAUUGAAGCAGUCGUUUUUGCUGUGUUCCCUCUGUUCAGAAGUUAAGUAGAACCACAACUCAAUGUCCCGAGCUCAUUAGGAUGGUUACUAUUCAAAAAAAGAAAGUGGCCAGGUGCGGUGGCUCACGCCUGUAAUCCCAGCACUUUGGGAGGCCAAGGCGGGUGGAUCACAAGGUCAGGAGUUCGAGACCAGCCUGACCAAUAUGAUGAAACCCCCAUCUCUACUAAAAAUACAAAAAUUAGCUGGGUGUGGUGGCAGGCGCCUGUAAUCCCAGCUACUCAGGAGGCUGAGACAGGAGAAUUGCCUAAACCCGGGAGGUGGAGGUUGCAGUGAACCGAGAUCGCGCCAUUGCACUCCAGCCUGGGCAACAACAGCGAAACUCCAUCUCAAAAAAAAAAAAGAAGUAACAAGUGUUGUUCAGGGUGUGGAGAGAUGGGAGCCCUAGUGUGAUGUUGUGGAAUGUAAAAUGAUGUAGCCACUGUGGGAAGCAAUAUAGCAGUUCCUCAAACAAUAAAUAAAUGGCCCAGGCGGGUGGCUCACACCUGCAAUCCCAGCGCUUUGGGAGGCUGAGGCGGGCAGAUCACCUGAGGUCAGGAGUUCAAGACCAGCCUGGCCAACGUGGUGAAACCCUGUCUCUACUAAAAAUACAAAAAAUUAGCUGGGAGUGAUGGUGGCCACCUGUAAUCCUAGCUACUCGAGAGUCUGAGGCAGAGAAUUGCUUGAACCCAGACAUGGAGGUUGCAGUGAGCCAAGAUCAUGCCACUGCACUCCAGCCUGGGUGACAGAGCGAGACUCCGCCUCAAAAAAAAAAAAUAUAUAUAUAUAUAUAAAAUAAAUAAAUAAAUAAGCCCAGUGUGGUGGCUCACACCUGUAAUCCUAGUGCUUUGGGAGGCUGAGGUGGGCAGAUCACCUGAGGUCAGGAGUUCAAGACCAGUCUGGCCAACAUGGUGAAACCCCAUCUCUACUAAAAAUACAAAAAAUUAGCUGGGCGUGGUGGCGGGUGCCUGUAAUCCCAGCUACUCGGGAGGCUGAGGCAGAAGAAUCGCUUGAACCCAGAAGGCAGAGGUUGCAGUGAGCCAAGAUUGCGCCACUGCAUUCUGGCCUGGGAGAGAGAACGAGACUCUGUCUCAAAUAAAUAAAUAAAUAAAUAAAUGGGCCCAGCACGAUGGCUCACACCUGUAAUCCCAGUGCUUUGGGAGGCUGAGGCGGGCAGAUCACCUGAGGUCAGGAGUUCGAGACCAGCCUGGCCAACAUGGUGAAACCCCGUCUCUACUAAAGAUACAAAAAAUUAGCCAGGUGUGGUGGCAGGCCCCUGUAAUCCCAGCUAUCUGGGAGGCUGAGGCAGGAGAAUUGCUUGAACCUGGGAGGUGGAGGUUGCAGUGAGCCGAGAUCAUGCCAUUGCACUCCAGCCUGGGCGACAGAGCGAGAUUUCAUCUCAAUAAAUGAAUGAAUGAAUCAAUCAAUACAAAUUUAAAAAAUAAAACAGAUGGAAAAUUCUGUCCGGAGCACUCGGGGAAGGCAGGGCCAGGCCUUGCACUGCCGCACUCCCGGCUGGUGUUUUGACACCUGUGCUUUCAGCUCCCAGGAGCAGAGCUGGGCUUCACUCAUCUUCCCCCUCCUCUGGCUUCCCCCCAUGUGACUGCAGGCUACGUUUUAAAGAUUUUUACAUCAACUUUUAAUUUCAGAAUAGAUUUAGACUUACAUAAAGGUUUCUCUUCUUUUUUUUUUUUCUGAGAUGGAGUCUCGCUCUGUUGCCCAGGCUGGAAUACAGUGGCGCGAUCUCAGCUCACUGCAACCUCCGUCUCCUGGGUUCAAGUGAUUCUCCUGCCUCAGCCUCCCGAGUAGCUGGGAUUACAAGCAUGUGCCACUGUGCCCGGCCUCCAGUUUUUGUAUUUUUAGUAGAGACGGGGUUUCACCAUGUUGGUCAGGCUAGUCUCAAACUCCUGACGUCAUGAUCCACCUGCCUCAGCCUCCCAAAGUGCUGGGAUUACAGGCAUGAGCCACCGUGCCCAGCUAAGACUUACAUAAAGGUUUCAAAAUGAACCCGAGAGUCCUGUUAAGUUUUCACCGAGGAGGCCUGGGGCAUGAGUCCAUACAGCAAACUGCAGCCUGGCAUGGCCUGAAGGCCACAGAAGGCUGGCCUCUUGUCACAGGGACUGGGUCCAGGUCACCGCAGCUGCCAGCUGUCAGUUGCCAGUGGCCGCUGAUUUCAAGGCAAAGUGCCCAGUGGCCACCACCAAAACUGCCUCUGCGCAUCACUUCCCUUUCCAUGAACGUUGUGCAGCUCCAGGUUUGAAUUUGUCCUGGUUCUAAGCCAAUUUCAGAAUUGUGAAUGAAAGCCAAUUAAGAUUUUUAAGCUGAAUUUGUUGCAAUGUUGUUUCGUGACAGUUCCAUACAGCCCGCACACAGUUUCUCUGAUUAUUUAACGUCUUACAUUCGUGAGAUGUGUUUGCUACCAUUGAUGAACUGGUAUGUACUGGCAACUCUCUGUAAUUUUUCUUUUUUUUUUUUUUUUUGAGAUGGAGUCUUGCUCUUUUGCCAGGCUGGAGUGCAGUGGCGUGAUCUUGGCUCACUGCAACCUCCACCUCCUGGGUUCAAGCGAUUCUCCUGCUUCAGCCUCCCUAGUAGCUGGGACUACAAGCACGCGCCACCACACCCGGCUAAUUUUUGUAUUUUUAGAGAUGGGUUUCACCAUGUUGGCCAGGAUGGUCUCGAUCUCUUGACCUCAUGAUCUGCCUGCUUCGGCCUCCCACUGCGCCUGGCUGCAUCUCACUGUAAUUUUAAUUUGCAUUUCUCUGGUUCUACAGAUGUUGAGCACUUUUCUGUGUUUUUUUAUUUUUAUUUUUUAUUUAUUUAGUUUUGUGUUGGAGUCUCACUCGGUCACCCAGGCUGGAGUGCAGUGGCAAGAUCUUGGCUCACUGCAACUUCUGCCUCCCUGGUUCAAGUGAUUCUCCUGCCUCAGUCUCCCAAGUAGCUGGGAUUACAGGUAUGCACCACCACAUCCAGCUAAUUUUUGUAUUUUCAGUAGAGAUAGGGUUUUACCAUGUUGGCCAGGCUGGUCUUGAACUCCUGACCUCAGGUGAUCAGCCUGCCUCAGCCUCCCAAAGUGCUGGGAUUACAGGUGUGAGCCACCGCACCUGACCCCCACCUUUCUAUGUUUAUUGGCCAUUUGUGUAAUAUCUUUUUUUUUUUUUUUUUUUGAGGCAGGGUUUCACUCUGUUGCCGAGGCUGAAGUGCAGUGGCAUGAUUUUGGCUCACUGCAACCUCCAUCUCCCGGGUUCAAGCGAUUCUCCUGCCUCAGCCUCCCAAGUAGCUGGGAUUAGAGGGCCGACUACCACACCAAGCUAAUUUUUGUAUUUUUAGUAGAGACGAGGUUUCACAUGUUGGCCAGGCUGGUCUCGAACUCCUGAGCCCAGCUGAUCCACCCACUUCGGCCUCCGAAGCUCCUGGGAUCACAGUUGUGAGCCACUGCACCCAGCCAUGAAUGCAAAUCUUUUGUCAGAGAUAUCUACAAUGAAUAUUUUUCCCAGUCUCUGGAUUGCCUAUUCAUUUUCUUCAUGGUAUCUUUUGAUCAGCAAAAAAAUUGAUUUUGAUAAAAAUCUACUUUGCUGUCAAUUUCUUUUCUUGUAUGUCUGGUGUUUCUGUGACCUGAAAGAAGUCUUUGCCUACCCCAAAUUGUGACGAUUGUCCCUCGUCUUCUUCCAGAAGGUCUUGGAUUUUAUGUUUAAGUCUAUGGGACUCAUCUUGAUUUCAUUUUUGUGCAGAGGGAAAUAAAGUUAAGGUUCAAUUUUUUUCUUUCUUUCUUUUUUUUUUUUUUUUUUUGAGACAGCCUGUUGCCCAGGCUGGAGUGCAGUGGCACAAUCUCGGCUCACUGCAGCCUUCACCUCCCAGGUUCAUGUGAUCCUCCCACCUCAGCCUUCCGCUCCCGAGUAACAGGGAUUACAGGCAUGUGCCGCCAUACCUGGCUAAUUUUUGUAUUUUUAGUAGAGACAGGAUUUCGCCAUGUUGGCCAGGCUGGUCUCAACCUCUCAGGCUCAAGAAAUCCUCCUGUCUCAGCCUCCUGAGUAGCUGGGACUAUAGGUGCGUGCCACCAUGCCCAGCUAAUUUUCAAAAAUUUUUUUAUAGAGACAGGGUCUUGCUGUGUUGCCCAGGCUGGUCUCCAACUCCUGGGCUCAAGCGACCCUCCCACCUUGGCCUCCCAAAGUGCUGGGAUUACGUGAGCCACGACGCCCGGCCUUAAAAGGAUUUUCUACAUGUCGGAUCAUGUAUGUCUUCCUUUCCUUUUCCUGCCCUAUUGCCCCGGGACUUCCUGCACGGUGCAGAGAGAGGUGGUGAGAGAAGCCCCCCGGCCCUGGUCCCCACCUCAGCUGGGGCCUUCUGUGGUUCACCGUCAGCCAUGGCUUCAGCGAUGGGUUUGGAUAGAUGGUCUUGUCAGUGUAGUUGGCUCCCUUCCAUUGCUGGUUUGCUGAGAGUCUGCACCACGAACGAUGACGCAUUUUGUCAUGAUUUUGCCCGAGGGGAUUACAUGGAUUUUUUUCUUAUUCUGUUAACAUGAAUGUGAAAGUUGUCAGAAUAAAUAUAAGGUCACUGGUGUUAAAACAACAACAGGCUGGGCACGGUGGCUCACGUCUGUAAUCCCAGCACUUUGGGAGGCUGAGGCAGGAGGAUCACCGGAGGUCAGGAGUUCCAGACCAGCCUGACCGACACGGUGAAACCCCGUGUCUACUAAAAAUACAAAAAUUAGCCUGGUGUGGUGGCAUGUGCCUGUAAUUCCGGCUACUCGGGAGGCUGAGGCAGGAGAACCGCUUGAACCCGGGAGGCAGAGGCUGCAGGGAGCCGAGAUCGCACCACUGCACUCCAGACUGGGCAAUGAGAGCAAAACGGCAUCUCAAAAACCAACAAAACAACACCACCACCACCACCAAACCGUGACAAACAGAGCUGGGCGAGGUCAUGAAGAGAUGUGUCAUGCCUGUGCCUGAGGAAAAAGACUAUGGGCAGCACAGCCCUGCACGAAGGCCUUGAGACCCAAACAAUGCUUCUCCGAGGAUGUCUGCUCAGCCACCGCCUGUCCAACCUCUGACUGGCCUCACCCCAGCUGUUGGUAUUUGUAGCCAAGGAUAAUUUUCAAAACAACAUGAUUCUCCCCAUUUUCCCUUAGAAACCCUCCUCUUCCUUUCCCUACAGGAAUAUGCACGUAGUUUACAGAGGCCAAGCAUUCCCUUUGCAGCUUGCUAGUCCCAAAUAAACCGCUCUUCUUUUAGGGAGUCCCUCUCUGUCUGUCUGUUAGCUGGACAUGGUAAAUUAUGCUGAUUGACUUUAGAAAGCUGAAUCCUGGCCGGGCACAGUGGCUCACGCCUGUAAUCCCAGCACUUUGGGAGGCUGAGGUGGGUGGAUCACGAGGUCAGGGGUUUGAGACCAGCUUGGCCAAUAUGGCGAAACCCUGUCUCUACUAAAAAUACAAAAAUUAGCCGAGCGUGGUGGCACGCACCUGUGAUCCCAGCUACUUGGCAGGCUGAGGCGGGAGAAUCACUUGAACCUGGGAGGCGGAGGCUGCAGUGUUGCAGUGAGCCAGAAUUGCACCACUGUACUCCAGCCUGGGUGACAGAGCAAGAUUCCAUCUCAAAAAAAAAAGGGGCCAGGCGCGGUGGCUCACACCUGUAAUCUCAGCACUUUGGGAGGCCGAGGUAGGCGGACACAAAGUCAGGAGAUUGAGACCAUCCUGGCUAACACGGUGAAACCCUGUUUCUACUAAAAAUACAAAAAAAUUAGCCGGGUGUGGUGGUUGUUGCCUGUAGUCCCAGCUACUCAAGACGCUGAGGCAGGAGAAUGGUGUGAACCCGGGAGGUGGAGCUUGCAGUGAGCUGAGAUUGCGCCACUGCACUCCAGCCUGGGUGACAGAGCAAGACUCCAUCUCAAAAAAAGAAAAAAGAAAGCUGGAUCCCUUGCCUUCCUGGGAUAAACUCCCCUUGGUCUUGAUGUAGUAUCCUCUUUAUAUAUUGCACAAUUCGAUUUACUUUGCAUUUAUUUCAUUACAACUUUUGUGUCUAUGUGUUUUUAAAAAAAUUAUUCUAUUUGCUUUUUUUUUUUUUUUUU